AUCCCUUCUCUGUUCUCUCUCGCGAACAAGCGACGCCGAAGGGAAUGAAGCUUUGAUCUCCGGCGAUCUCCCUGUGCCGGCAUCAACACCCUAAGCUCAGAUCUGGCCGGUGUUUCUCCUCUCCGGGUCUUCUUCGGCUGAGGAGUUGCUAUUCGGUGGAUUUUGCACCGAUUGUUAACGAUCGGUGGCUAGGGCAUGGUGAGGGGUCGGAUCUUGCAUCGUCUUCCAUCGGUAGACCUUCCCUCUCCUCUCCUCGUGUUGGACACAGUGCGAUUACUCUCUUCGCUAGCCGGAUUGGACCGGGCGGCGCCACCUAGCAGCGAUCUGGGAGUUUACACGAGGAGGAAAGCAUCGGAUUGUUGUGGAUUCUUCCUAUUGUCGAUCAUUGCUUUCUUCUUUCUUGAAGCUGUGGAGGUAUCAGAGUAAGCAACCCAUCCAUCAGUGUUCCCUUGAUCCAGAAUCAACAGCAGCUGGAUUGAGGUAUGGUGUAGUGAGGUUGAUACAUAAUUAGUGUUGUGUUGAUGAAUUAGGUUGAGGCCGUCGGGAGAUAUUCCAGUCGCUAGCCCCAUUAUCGCGAGGAUUUUC